rnacentral:rRNA from 1 species
GACGAACGCUGGCGGCGUGCCUAAUACAUGCAAGUAGAACGCUGAAGGAGGAGCUUGCUUCUCUGGAUGAGUUGCGAACGGGUGAGUAACGCGUAGGUAACCUGCCUGGUAGCGGGGGAUAACUAUUGGAAACGAUAGCUAAUACCGCAUAAUAGUAGAUGUUGCAUGACAUUUGCUUAAAAGGUGCAAUUGCAUCACUACCAGAUGGACCUGCGUUGUAUUAGCUAGUUGGUGAGGUAACGGCUCACCAAGGCAACGAUACAUAGCCGACCUGAGAGGGUGAUCGGCCACACUGGGACUGAGACACGGCCCAGACUCCUACGGGAGGCAGCAGUAGGGAAUCUUCGGCAAUGGACGGAAGUCUGACCGAGCAACGCCGCGUGAGUGAAGAAGGUUGUCGGAUCGUAAAGCUCUGUUGUAAGAGAAGAACGAGUGUGAGAGUGGAAAGUUCACACUGUGACGGUAUCUUAACAGAAAGGGACGGCUAACUACGUG